rnacentral:rRNA from 1 species
UACGUAGGGGGCAAGCGUUGUCCGGAAUUAUUGGGCGUAAAGAGCGUGUAGGCGGCCAGAUAAGUCCGCUGUGAAAUCUCGAGGCUCAACUUCGAGCUGUCGGUGGAAACUAUCUGGCUAGAGUCCGGAAGAGGAGACUGGAAUUCCCGGUGUAGCGGUGGAAUGCGCAGAUAUCGGGAGGAACACCAAUGGCGAAAGCAGCUCUCUGGGACGGUACUGACGCUGAGACGCGAAAGCGUGGGGAGCGAACAGG